rnacentral:rRNA from 1 species
UACAGAGGUCUCAAGCGUUGUUCGGAUUCAUUGGGCGUAAAGGGUGCGUAGGUGGCGCUGUAAGUCGGGUGUGAAAUUUCGGAGCUUAACUCCGAAACUGCAUUCGAUACUGCCGUGCUUGAGGACUGGAGAGGAGACUGGAAUUUACGGUGUAGCGGUGAAAUGCGUAGAUAUCGAUAAGGAAGACCAGUGGCGAAGGCGGGUCUCUGGACAGUUCCUGACGCUGAGGCACGAAGGCCAGGGGAGCAAACGGG